UAUGUUGUCAAAUUGUCAAUC
rnacentral:miRNA from 1 species